rnacentral:rRNA from 1 species
AUUGAACGCUGGCGGCAGGCCUAACACAUGCAAGUCGAGCGGAUGAGUGGAGCUUGCUCCAUGAUUCAGCGGCGGACGGGUGAGUAAUGCCUAGGAAUCUGCCUGGUAGUGGGGGACAACGUUUCGAAAGGAACGCUAAUACCGCAUACGUCCUACGGGAGAAAGUGGGGGAUCUUCGGACCUCACGCUAUCAGAUGAGCCUAGGUCGGAUUAGCUAGUUGGUGAGGUAAAGGCUCACCAAGGCGACGAUCCGUAACUGGUCUGAGAGGAUGAUCAGUCACACUGGAACUGAGACACGGUCCAGACUCCUACGGGAGGCAGCAGUGGGGAAUAUUGGACAAUGGGCGAAAGCCUGAUCCAGCCAUGCCGCGUGUGUGAGGAAGGUCUUCGGAUUGUAAAGCACUUUAAGUUGGGAGGAAGGGCAGUAAGUUAAUACCUUGCUGUUUUGACGUUACCAACAGAAUAAGCACCGGCUAACUUCGUGCCAGCCGCCGCAGUAAUAC